GCGCCCUUAGCUCAGCUGGAUAGAGCGUCUGACUACGAAUCAGAAGGUCGCAGGUUCGAAUCCUGCAGGGCGCGCCA
rnacentral:tRNA from 1 species